CCCUUGUUCUGUCUUUCUCUGUCCUCUGUAAAUUGGGUCAGACUGGGUUCUCUUAGAUCUUAGUGUCUUAGUAGGAAGCACCCUACUCCCACCUCCCCCUCUGCUGCAGAGAGUGUCAUAACUGCAGGAGAGAGGGCUUUCUGAAGCAGGAGGAGAGGAGAGAAGAGUCCACACUCACUUAAGUUUUCCUCUCCCACCUAUGCUAUUCUCACCAUUCUGUAACACAUCUUUAUCGAGGCGAGUAUUCUGGUUGAUGUACUGCCUGCUGCCUUUUGUGUCUUUUUAAGUGGAAGAUGGCCCCUUAUGUUAAGUGGUUAAUGCAUUUUAUUUUUUAGUGCUUUCCUGAAGUUGUUUAAAUAUAUGCUCUGAUAAUAUUAAAAUAUUAUUUAUUUUAAAAUAAGAGCAGGCACUGUAACAAGUUACAUUUAAAGAUCCAAUGAAAUCAGAUGAGAUGAGUUUGGUGGCUUUUAGUCUUCUUGCUUUGAGGCUAAUCUAUAUGCUGAUGUAUUUCUGAAUGUUAACAUAACCCACCGAUUCACUAUCUCAACAAAUUAGAAUACUUCAUAAGACCAAUAAUAAUAAUAAAAAAUACAUUUUUAGUGAAUUGUCAUUUAACCAACUUUUUGUGCUUUUGGCGGUGUGGGCAGUUGCAAAUCCUGCUGGAAAAUGAAAUAAGCAUCUUCAAAAGCUGGUCAGCAAAAGGAAGAAUGAAGUGCUCCAAAAUUUCUUGGUAAACGUAUGCAGUGACUUUGGUUUUCAAAAAAACAUAAUGGACCAACACCAGCAGAUGACAUUGCACCCCAAAUCUUCACAGACUGUGGAAACUUAACACUGGACUUCAAGCAACUUGGGCUAUGAUCUUCUCCACCCUUCCUCCAGACUCUAGGACCUUGAUUUCCAAAUGAAAUCCAAAACUUGCUCUCAUCUGAAAAAAGGACUUUGGACCACUGGUCAACUGUCCAGUUCUUCUUCUCCUUAGCCCAGGUUUAACGUUCACCUGAGAGCUCCUGGAUCUAUUUCACACUCCACUAGGUCUUUGGGAGGGGGUUGGGUGAGAAGGUUUGCAGCAUCUCCACUAGCAUCAGAAGCUCUCCAAACCGAUCGGGAAGAGGAUCUAGCUGAAAAAACUUUGACGGCAUCACUCUCACGCUGACCAUUUCCAGUGUCUAUCUCGCCGUUUGGUGGGUGAUGGCUGACCUCUGACCUUUGGAUGAGACCAUCCUGUGCAGACAGGUGUAUGUCUGUGUGGCUGUUCUUCCUUUCUGUUUCCCCUGCAGCUGUCUCUCUUAGAGAGGUGGGAAAGGAGCAGUGGAGCACAAUGUCUCCUCGCUGUUGCAGGAACUUCAAUGCGACCGCCACAGCCACAAUUGCACACCAGCCUGAUUAGCUGUGUUUAUCUGCGAAGGACACAGCGAUGGAGAAGCUGAUCUUUGAACUUUCAUUGUGGCAGAAACCUCAGGGGAGCAUCAGGAUCAAUCUCAGCUGGACAGGAGAUGAAGGUUACGCUGUCCUGGCCUGUGCUGAGCUGAUGGGUGAAAAGAUUCCCCUCUGGGCCUUCCUGGUUUACAAUAGCCAUUCGGUGGAGCAAAGCCAACACAUCGAUCUCUCGCCUACGGAUUAUAUACAAAGGCACCAAUCAGUGUGGAAUGUUG
ensembl:lncRNA